rnacentral:rRNA from 1 species
AGACACGGUCCAGACUCCUACGGGAGUGCAGCAGUGGGGAAUCAUUGGACCAUGGGCGCCAGCCUGAUCCAGGCAUAACGCGUUUGGUUAAGAAAGGCCUUCGGGUUGUAAAGGCCUUUUGUUUGGGGAAAAGAAAUUCCUGUCGGUUAAUACCCGGCCGGGGAUGACGGUACCCCAAGGAAUAAGCACGGCUAACUUUGUUCCAGCAACCCCGGUUAUACGAAAGGUUCAAACGUUAAUUGGGAUUUCUUGGCGUAAAGCGUGCUUAGGUUGUUUUUUAAAUUUUUUUUUUAAAGCCUGGGGUCCACCUUGGAAUUUCGAAUGGAAACUUGGCGAAUUGAAUUUUGUAAAAGGGGGUUAGAAUCCCAGUGUAACCGUUGAAAUGCGUAGGAGAUUCUUGGAGGAAUACCCGGUGGCGAAGGCGGGCCCCCUGGACAAAGACUGACGCUCAGGUGCGAAAGCGUGGGGAGCAAACAGGAUUAGAUACCCUGGUAGUCCACGCCGUAAAC